rnacentral:tRNA from 1 species
AGCCCUGUGGUGAGACACAGUGAGUUGCAAACUCAAAGACGCAGAUUAAUACUUUGCCGGGGCUU